AACGAACGCUGGCGGCAGGCCUCAAACAUGCAAGUCUAGGGGGUGUAGCAAUACAUCACCGGCGGACGGGUGCGUAACGCGUGGGAAUAUACCUAUCGAUUCGGAACAACUGAGGGAAACUUCAGCUAAUACCGAAUACGUCCUAACGGAGAAAGAUUUAUCGUCGAUAGAUUAGCCCGCGUUCGAUUAGCUAGUUGGUGGGGUAACGGCCCACCAAGGCGACGAUCGAUAGCUGUUCUGAGAGGAAGAUCAGCCACACUGGGACUGAGACACGGCCCAGACUCCUACGGGAGGCAGCAGUUGGGAAUCUUGGACAAUGGGGGGAAACCCUGAUCCAGCCAUGCCGCGUGAGUGAUGAAGGCCUUCGGGUUGUAAAACUCUUUCGUCGCACGACGAUAAUGACGGUAGUGCGAGAAGAAGACUCCGGCUAACUUCGUGCCAGCAGCCGCGGUAAU
rnacentral:rRNA from 1 species